rnacentral:rRNA from 1 species
GACGAACGCUGGCGGCGUGCCUAACACAUGCAAGUCGAACGGAGAAUCAGCAAUGAUUCUUAGCGGCGAACGGGUGAGUAACGCGUAGACAACCUGCCUUCUAGAUGGGGACAACACUGCGAAAGUGGUGCUAAUACCGAAUGUUGUAAUAAGCCUGCAUGGGCUUGAUACUAAAGGUGGCCUCUGACAUAAGCUACCACUAGAAGAUGGGUCUGCGUCUGAUUAGCUAGUUGGUGAGGUAAUGGCUCACCAAGGCGAUGAUCAGUAGCCGGUCUGAGAGGAUGAACGGCCACACUGGGACUGAGACACGGCCCAGACUCCUACGGGAGGCAGCAGUGGGGAAUCUUCCGCAAUGGACGAAAGUCUGACGGAGCAACGCCGCGUGAGUGAAGAAGGUUUUCGGAUCGUAAAGCUCUGUCUUUGAGGACGAAUGUGUCUAAUGUGAAUAAUGUUAGAUAAUGACGGUACUCGAGGAGGAAGCCACGGCUAACUACGUGCCAGCCGCCGCAGUAACAC